UGAGUCGUGUUGAGGAUGAAGAUGAGUUGAUGAUGAAGAUGAACCCAUACAUACUGAAACACGAUGAGGACAUGAGGUCAUGUGACCUCUGUGACCCCGCCUGUCUUUUGGCUGUUCUGCUUCUGUAAUUACCAUGGUAACGACACAUCAUCUUCAUCAUCAUCGCCAUCAUCGCAGGAAACAGGAAGCAGUGACAGAGAGAGAACGCCGGGUGAAAACUGGUGAAAACACUCGUUAAUAACAGACAUCAGGAGUAAAAACAUGACGGUCAGCUGACGGGAGGAACAGCUGCUGCUGACAGCAGCGUCUGACGUCUGCAGCAGCUUCAUCUUCAAAUAUAAAAUAAAGUUUAUAAUCUACAAAUUAAAUGUUUCAGUCUGAACGUUUAUCAGCUGCUCCAUCAGACCGACGGAGGCGGAGUUACGUUUCCUGCUGAAAUUACACUUUUACAGCAUCACAAGGAGCUGAAACGAUGAGUCGAUUUCAGGUGUGUUUUAGGAGAACAGGUAAGUUCUCGACGCUGUUUUAGGAUUUUAAAGAUUUUCUGACAUCGUAUAGAGAAUUAUAAUUGAGAAUAUUUCUUCGCCAGAAUGAUCAAUAAUGAAAAUAAUCAGCUCUGCCGCCCCGCUGGUCUCUGUUAGCUCGUCGCUAACGUUACUUUUCCGUUACAGCAUCACGACUCCACACAAACACUUUCACAUCCAGACUGAAGCUUCGUUCAUCAGUGAUCAACACAAACAUCUCUGACGCUGCAGGAACACAGGCUUCUUCACAUGGCAUCAACGUUCAAGGCUAAACAAGGCAAAGUUUGCUAGAACAACAACAACCAUGAUGAAGAAAGAGACUCAAACUCAGACGAAGCGGUUUGUGUGAUCUUCGCUGGUCCUGGUCUGUACCUGAUCCCGUCCUGCGUCCUCUGGAGGUCUGAUGAGGAUCGUUGAGCGCCACCAGCAGGUCAACGUGUCUUAAGGGUUACUGGGAGGGUAGGAG